rnacentral:rRNA from 1 species
UACGUAGGGUGCAAGCGUUAAUCGGAAUUACUGGGCGUAAAGCGUGCGCAGGCGGUGAUGUAAGACAGGGGUGAAAUCCCCGGGCUCAACCUGGGAACUGCAUUUGUGACUACAUGGCUAGAGUGCGGCAGAGGGGGAUGGAAUUCCGCGUGUAGCAGUGAAAUGCGUAGAUAUGCGGAGGAACACCGAUGGCGAAGGCAAUCCCCUGGGCCUGCACUGACGCUCAUGCACGAAAGCGUGGGGAGCAAACAGG